rnacentral:rRNA from 1 species
UACGGAGGGUGCGAGCGUUGUCCGGAAUCACUGGGCGUAAAGGGCGCGUAGGCGGGAUGGCAAGUCAGUCGUGAAAUCUCUCGGCUCAACCGAGAAACGUCGGCUGAUACUGCCGUUCUUGAGGGAUGCAGAGGAGACUGGAAUUCCCGGUGUAGCGGUGAAAUGUGUAGAGAUCGGGAGGAACACCGGUGGCGAAGGCGGGUCUCUGGGCAUCUCCUGACGCUGAGGCGCGAAAGCGUGGGGAGCAAACGGG